AAAUACCGGACGUUAAUUAACCGCCAUGUGCUCUACGAGUAGAAGCGGGCCUCUUCUUGAAAGCUCGCACUUUGAGAUAAGCCUACGUCGGAUUAGCUUGUUGGUAGGGUAAAAGCCUACCAAGGCGACGAUCCGUAGCUGGUUUGAGAGGAUGAUCAGCCACACUGGGACUGAGACACGGCCCAG
rnacentral:rRNA from 1 species